GCACUGACUGCUAUCGGAUUGAUACUAAGCCAUGCGAGUCAUUGUAGUAAUACAAGGCAGACGGCUCAGUAACGCGUAGUCAACCUAACCUAUGGACGGGAAUAACCUCGGGAAACUGAGUGUAAUGCCCGAUAGAACAUUAUGCCUGGAAUGGUUUAUGUUCCAAAUGAUUUAUCGCCGUAGGAUGGGACUGCGGCCUAUCAGUUUGUUGGUGAGGUAAUGGCCCACCAAGACUAUUACAGGUACGGGCUCUGAGAGGAGUAGCCCGGAGAUGGGUACUGAGACACGGACCCAGGCCCUAUGGGGCGCAGCAGGCGAGAAAACUUUGCAAUGUGCGAAAGCACGACAAGGUUAAUCCGAGUGGUUUCUGCUAAAGGGACCUUUUGUCGGUCCUAGAAACACCGAUGAAUAAGGGGUGGGCAAGUUCUGGUGUCAGCCGCCGCGGUAAAACCAGCACCUCAAGUGGUCAGGAUGAUUAUUGGGCCUAAAGCAUCCGUAGCCGGCUCCAUAAGUUUUCGGUUAAAUCUGUACGCUCAACGUACAGGCUGCCGGGAAUACUGUGGAGCUAGGGAGUGGGAGAGGUAGACGGUACUCGUAGGAAAGGGGUAAAA
rnacentral:rRNA from 1 species